UACAGAGGGUGCGAGCGUUGUUCGGAAUUAUUGGGCGUAAAGGGCGCGUAGGCGGUGCGGUAAGUCACCUGUGAAAUCUCCUGGCUCAACUGGGAGCUUGCAGGCGAAACUGCCGUGCUGGAGUGUGGGAGAGGUGAGUGGAAUUCCCGGUGUAGCGGUGAAAUGCGUAGAUAUUGGGAAGAACACCGGUGGCGAAGGCGGCUCACUGGCUCAUUACUGACGCUCAGGCGCGACAGCGUGGGGAUCAAACAGG
rnacentral:rRNA from 1 species